UAAACUUCCUACCUGGAUCAUCAUUUUAAUUGAAAUGAUUUUGCUAUUUCAUCACAUAGAAUAGUUGUUAUUGACUUUUAGUAAAUUGUCUCCAUGAUAUUGAUCAAAGUGGCUUAUUUUGUUUCUUUCUUAUAAAGAUUUUUAAAAUAAAGCUUGGUAGCUGAAUUUUUCUAAUGCCUUGUCUUCAUUUGUCAUAAAAUUAUACUUCUCUCCAUUAAUUUGUUGAUAUAAUGAAUUUUGCUGUACUUGAUCAUAGUAUACUAAUUAUUCUUAUACUGUUGAAUUCUUUUCACUGAUACUUAGGAUUUUUGCAUCUGUAUUCAAAGGUAAGAUUGGUCUAUGGUUCUUUUUAUUGCUUUACUGCACCAGGUAGUAUUUCCGGUGCAAUGUUUGGUUUGGGGGGAGAGUAUAUCCUUGCUUUGCAUUUGAUCUUAAAGAAGAAACAUGUAGGGUUCAUUUAGUGUGACUUGUGUUUGUAGAUGCCAUUUUUCAGGUAAUGUUUUGGAUAUAUCAGAUUAAAUAAGUCAGAGUAUUAAAACUAAUCUCACCUGUUUCUUUUUAUUUUUUAAAAUGUGUUUAAUAGAAAAUUUAAAAUUAUUUUUUGAUUUGUAUUGUAUUUCAUUGAACAGCACUUCUGUAGAGUAUUUUGCCUAAGUUGAAAUAAAAUAUUCUUCAUUGUGAGGAAAAAAUAAUUAAUACCAGUUACUGUAUUAUCUGUAGAUAAUUCAGUCAUUUCUCCUUGCUGCUAUAUUUUUAAAUGCAUAGUCAGAUGUAUAUACAUAAUUGUGGAUUCAUAGCACCAGAGAUUUCUCAGUGGACAUUUAUCUCUUCAUGAAUGUUGAGAACAAACCAAAGUCCUUAAAUAGUAUUUUACAGUAAUCAGGUGAAAACAAAUGCUACAUUAAAUUUACCAUAUUCUAAGAUAUAUGAAUUCAUGUAUAGUUUUCUCCCUUUUUUUUUCUGUCAAAAAGCUAAAUAAGUUUUCCCUCUCAUAUACAGCCACUUGUUUUUGAAUAAAAAACAGCAUGAAAAAUUUAAGAGUCAUUGUGAAUCAAAAUGGAUUUACAUACACAAAGGAUAUAAAGAUAAGCUCCUUAAAGAUCUGUUUUUUAAGCCUGAAACUGAUAUAAGAGAAAAGAUUUCACAUUGGAAAUAUAACUUGAGAAACUUCCCCACCUCCUUGAAGCAUGAGGAAAUCCAAUUGAUUACUUUGAGGAACGUUAUUAAUGGGGAAAACCAAUACCGUUCCUCUGGAAGAGAUCUCUUACUUGGAAUACUUCUAGUACAUUAAAUGUUCAUAUCUUGUAUUCCUUCAUGGUAUUUUUAGACAUAAUCUAAAGUGGCAUUCAACUGUAUUAAAGGGCUGUUGAUUUUACUGAAUUCUAGAAUAUUUUCAAUGAUAUUUAUCUUGGUAUCAAAGAUUCAUUUUUCCUGUAAAUAAUAUUGAUGGUACUAUAUACAUGCCAUGACUAAUGCAACUUUUGUAAAACAAAAUAAAAUUAAAUGUACUCAAAUACAAUCCUCCCUGUAAAUCCCUU
rnacentral:lncRNA from 1 species